UACGUAGGGGGCGAGCGUUGUCCGGAAUCACUGGGCGUAAAGAGCUCGUAGGCGGUUUGUCGCGUCUGCUGUGAAAAACUGGGGGGCUCAACCCCCCAGCCUGCAGUGGGUACGGGCAGACUAGAGUGCGGUAGGGGAGAUUGGAAUUCCUGGUGUAGCGGUGAAAUGCGCAGAUAUCAGGAGGAACACCGAUGGCGAAGGCAGGUCUCUGGGCCGAUACUGACGCUGAGGAGCGAAAGCGUGGGGGAGCGAACAGG
rnacentral:rRNA from 1 species